GACGAACGCUGGCGGCGUGCUUAACACAUGCAAGUCGAACGAUGCCUCCUUCGGGUGGAUUAGUGGCGAACGGGUGAGUAACACGUGGGUGAUCUGCCCUGCACUUUGGGAUAAGCCUGGGAAACUGGGUCUAAUACCGAAUAUGAUCAUGCUCUUCAUGGGGUGUGGUGGAAAGCUUUUGCGGUGUGGGAUGGGCCCGCGGCCUAUCAGCUUGUUGGUGGGGUAAUGGCCUACCAAGGCGACGACGGGUAGCCGGCCUGAGAGAGUGACCGGCCAGACUGGGACUGAGAUACGGGCCAGACUCCUACGGGAGGCAACAGUGGGGAAGAUUGCACAAUGGGCGCAAGCCUGAUGCAGCGACGCCGCGUGAGGGAUGACGGCCCUCGGGUUGUAAACCUCUUUAAGCAGGGACGAAGCGAAAGUGACGGUACCUGCAGAAGAAGGACCGGCCAACUACGUGCCAGCCGCCGCCGUAA
rnacentral:rRNA from 1 species